rnacentral:rRNA from 1 species
UUAUUGGGCGUAAAGAGCUCGUAGGCGGUUUGUCGCGUCUGCCGUGAAAGUCCGGGGCUUAACUCCGGAUCUGCGGUGGGUACGGGCAGACUAGAGUGCAGUAGGGGAGACUGGAAUUCCUGGUGUAGCGGUGAAAUGCGCAGAUAUCAGGAGGAACACCGAUGGCGAAGGCAGGUCUCUGGGCUGUAACUGACGCUGAGGAGCGAAAGCAUGGGGAGCGAACAGGACUAGAUACCCUGGUAGUCCAUGCCGUAAACGUUGGGCACUAGGUGUGGGGGACAUUCCACGUUUUCCGCGCCGUAGCUAACGCAUUAAGUGCCCCGCCUGGGGAGUACGGCCGCAAGGCUAAAACUCAAAGGAAUUGACGGGGGCCCGCACAAGCGGCGGAGCAUGCGGAUUAAUUCGAUGCAACGCGAAGAACCUUACCAAGGCUUGACAUGAACCGGAAUGAUGCAGAGAUGUGUCAGCCACUUGUGGCCGGUUUACAGGUGGUGCAUGGUUGUCGUCAGCUCGUGUCGUGAGAUGUUGGGUUAAGUCCCGCAACGAGCGCAACCCUCGUUCCAUGUUGCCAGCGGGUUAUGCCGGGGACUCAUGGGAGACUGCCGGGGUCAACUCGGAGGAAGGUGGGGACGACGUCAAAUCAUCAUGCCCCUUAUGUCUUGGGCUUCACGCAUGCUACAAUGGCUGGUACAAAGGGUUGCGAUACUGUGAGGUGGAGCUAAUCCCAAAAAGCCGGUCUCAGUUCGGAUUGAGGUCUGCAACUCGACCUCAUGAAGUUGGAGUCGCUAGUAA